UACGAAGGGUGCAAGCGUUACUCGGAAUCACUGGGCGUAAAGCGCACGUAGGCGGCUUUCUAAGUCAGGGGUGAAAUCCUGGAGCUCAACUCCAGAACUGCCUUUGAUACUGGAAAGCUUGAGUUCGGGAGAGGUGAGUGGAACUGCGAGUGUAGAGGUGAAAUUCGUAGAUAUUCGCAAGAACACCAGUGGCGAAGGCGGCUCACUGGCCCGAUACUGACGCUGAGGUGCGAAAGCGUGGGGAGCAAACAGGAUUAGAAACCCCGGUAGU
rnacentral:rRNA from 1 species